rnacentral:rRNA from 1 species
UACACUCCUGCGGGAGGCAGCAGUGGGGAAUUUUGGACAAUGGGCGAAAGCCUGAUCCAGCAAUGCCGCGUGCAGGAUGAAGGCCUUCGGGUUGUAAACUGCUUUUGUACGGAACGAAAAAGCUCCUUCUAAUACAGGGGGCCCAUGACGGUACCGUAAGAAUAAGCACCGGCUAACUACGUGCCAGCAGCCGCGGUAAUACGUAGGGUGCGAGCGUUAAUCGGAAUUACUGGGCGUAAAGCGUGCGCAGGCGGUUAUGUAAGACAGAUGUGAAAUCCCCGGGCUCAACCUGGGAACUGCAUUUGUGACUGCAUGGCUAGAGUACGGUAGAGGGGGAUGGAAUUCCGCGUGUAGCAGUGAAAUGCGUAGAUAUGCGGAGGAACACCGAUGGCGAAGGCAAUCCCCUGGACCUGUACUGACGCUCAUGCACGAAAGCGUGGGGAGCAAACAGGAUUAGAUACCCUAGUAGUCCCAUG